UACGUAGGGCGCAAGCGUUGUCCGGAAUUAUUGGGCGUAAAGAGCUCGUAGGCGGCUUGUCGCGUCGUCCGUGAAAACUUGGGGCUCAACCCCAAGCUUGCGGUCGAUACUGGAUAGCUAGAGUUCGGCAGAGGGAAGCGGAAUUUCCGGUGUAGCGGUGAAAUGCGUAGAUAUCGGAAGGAACAUCAGUGGCGAAAGCGGCUUCCUGGACCAGAACUGACGAUCAGGCACGAAAGCGUGGGGAGCAAACAGG
rnacentral:rRNA from 1 species